rnacentral:rRNA from 1 species
AGUGAACGCUGGCGGUAGGCCUAACACAUGCAAGUCGAACGGCAGCACAGGAGAGCUUGCUCUCUGGGUGGCGAGUGGCGGACGGGUGAGGAAUACAUCGGAAUCUACUUUUUCGUGGGGGAUAACGUAGGGAAACUUACGCUAAUACCGCAUACGACCUACGGGUGAAAGCAGGGGAUCUUCGGACCUUGCGCGAUUGAAUGAGCCGAUGUCGGAUUAGCUAGUUGGCGGGGUAAAGGCCCACAAAGGCGACGAUCCGUAGCGGGUCUGAGGGGAUGAGCAGCCACACUGGAACUGAGACACGGUCAAGACUCCUAGGGGGGGCAGCAGUGGGGAAUAUUGGAAAAUGGGCGCAAGCCUGAUCCAGCCAUACCGCGUGGGGGAAGAAGGCCUUCGGGUUGUAAAGCCCUUUUGUUGGGAAAGAAAUCCAUCUGGUUAAUACCCGGGUGGGAUGACGGUACCAAAAGAAUAAGCACCGGCUAACUUCGUGCCAGCCGCCGCCGUAA